GGACAGGUUAAGUUUAAGGAAAUGAGCAACAAUCUAGUUGGAAUUAGCAGAGAGGCAGUCAGAGACACAAGUCAAGAGGGGUGGUGAGAAAUCAGGGGACAGAUAGAUUUGCAUGUAGUCUGCAUAGAAAUGAUAUUGGAUAUUGGAAAUUAUAUUGGAAGUCAAAGGAGCUAAUGAGUUUACCAAGGGAGGAGCAUAUAUUGAGAACAAUAGAGUACCAAGUACAGACACUUGGGGAACAUCAAC